UACGAAGGGGGCUAGCGUUGUUCGGAAUCACUGGGCGUAAAGCGCACGUAGGCGGAUUUUUAAGUCAGGGGUGAAAUCCCAAGGCUCAACCUUGGAACUGCCUUUGAUACUGGGAAUCUUGAGUCCGGGAGAGGUGAGUGGAACUGCGAGUGUAGAGGUGAAAUUCGUAGAUAUUCGCAAGAACACCAGUGGCGAAGGCGGCUCACUGGCCCGGAACUGACGCUGAGGCGCGAAAGCGUGGGGAGCAAACAGG
rnacentral:rRNA from 1 species